AUGGAGAGCAAUUCUUCCAUUGACUCCAAGCACUGCACCACAGAGAACAUCUGUCAGCAGCAGAGCUUGCUUUCACUUUCACAGUGCACUGUUGCUUGUGUCAGAAGUUCACUGACUCUGGAUGCAGUCAUGAAUGCUGAGUGAUUCUACAAAGAUUGGCUCCAGCAGAUUCUCUCUACUUAGUGCUGCAGUGAUGGAUUCACAGUUUGUACUGUGAAGAAGAGAAGGCACCACUUAUACCCCAGCAAAACGCUCCUGUAACUCUUUAAGCUCUGCUUUCACUAAAGGAGAACGACCAGCAGUGAAAACUGGGAGCAACUUUUUUUUUUUUUUGUAUUAGCUGAAGUAAUAAGAAAAUUGCCAUUCUUAAUUUCAUAGUGUAAAAUUUCUAUGAAUGUUAAAGGAAAUUAAAAUGAAA
rnacentral:lncRNA from 1 species